rnacentral:rRNA from 1 species
AUUUGGGGGAAUGAAGUUAUAUAUUUACAUAUAGAUAUAUACGGAAGUUUUAUAUUUAAAUAUAGAUAUUUACGGAAGUUAUAUAUUUAAACAUAGAUAUUUACGGAAGUUAUAUAUUUAAAUCUAGAUAUUUACGGAAGUUAUAUAUUUAAAUCUAGAUAUUUACGGAAGUUAUAUAUUUAAAUCUAGAUAUAUACGUCUCGACUAUGUCGUAUAAAGUUCUAAAUAGGAGAUUGAUGAUGACAAAUUUCUAUUUACAUGUCUCGACCAAUUCUUGUGCCAGCAGUCGCGGCAACACAAGCGAGACUAGUGUUAUUCAUCUUUAUUAGGUUUAAAGGGUACCUAGACGGUAUUUUCAGCCUGCAGAAGGUACAAAAAUACUAGAGUUUUAUAGGAGAGGUAAAUAUUAAGGCUAUUGGUGUAGAGAUGAAAUUUUUUGAUACUAAUGGAACGGAUGACGGCGAAGGCAAUCCUCUAUAGAAAAACUGACGUUAAGGGACGAAGGCUCGGGGGAGCGAAUAGGAUUAGAUACCCUAGUAGUCCGGGCAGAAAAUUAUGAAUGUUAUAGACUAGGAAACAACUGGUGUAUAAAUGAAAGUGUAAGCAUUCCACCUCAAGAGUAAUGUGGCAACGCAGGGAACUGAAAUCAU